rnacentral:rRNA from 1 species
UAGGGAAUCUUCCACAAUGGACGCAAGUCUGAUGGAGCAACGCCGCGUGAGUGAAGAAGGGUUUCGGCUCGUAAAGCUCUGUUGUUAAAGAAGAACACGUAUGAGAGUAACUGUUCAUUCGAUGACGGUAUCUAACCAGCAAGUCACGGCUAACUACGUGCCAG